rnacentral:rRNA from 1 species
UACGUAGGGAGCAAGCGUUGUCCGGAAUCAUUGGGCGUAAAGAGCGCGUAGGUGGCUUUAUAAGUCCGUUGUGAAAGUCAAAGGCUCAACCUUUGAAAGCCGAUGGAUACUGUGAAGCUAGAGUACGGAAGAGGCGAGUGGAAUUCCUGGUGUAGCGGUGGAAUGCGCAGAUAUCAGGAGGAACACCAAUAGCGAAGGCAGCUCGCUGGGACGUUACUGACACUGAGGCGCGAAAGCCGUGGGGAGCGAAACAGG